rnacentral:rRNA from 1 species
GACGAACGCUGGCGGCGUGCUUAACACAUGCAAGUCGAACGGAAAGGCCCUGCUUUUGUGGGGUGCUCGAGUGGCGAACGGGUGAGUAACACGUGAGUAACCUGCCCUUGACUUUGGGAUAACUUCAGGAAACUGGGGCUCAUACCGGAUAGGAGCUCCUGCUGCAUGGUGGGGGUUGGAAAGUUUCGGCGGUUGGGGAUGGACUCGCGGCUUAUCAGCUUGUUGGUGGGGUAGUGGCUUACCAAGGCUUUGACGGGUAGCCGGCCUGAGAGGGUGACCGGCCACAUUGGGACUGAGAUACGGCCCAGACUCCUACGGGAGGCAGCAGUGGGGAAUAUUGCACAAUGGGCGGAAGCCUGAUGCAGCAACGCCGCGUGCGGGAUGACGGCCUUCGGGUUGUAAUCCGCUUUCGCCUGUGACGAAGCGUGAGUGACGGUAAUGGGUAAAGAAGCACCGGCUAACUACGUG